rnacentral:rRNA from 1 species
UUAUUUGAGAGUUUGAUCCUGGCUCAGGAUGAACGCUAGCGGCGUGGAUAAGGCAUGCAAGUCAAACGGCCCCCCACCACUUUAUGCGGAUUUCCGAUUCUUUUAUAACCUUUUGUAUUAAGAUUAAGGUUGUAAAAAUUGUUUUGGAAGUCAAUAUAAAGUGGUGGGGGGUAGUGGCGAACGGGUUAGUAACACGUAGAUACUUCCCCCAAACACGGGCAUAAUUCCGCGAAAGCGGAACUAAUUCCCGAUGGUCCCUGAAGCCGUAAGGCUGAAGGGUAAAGCCCCCACACCAAUCUUUACAAGAAAAUUUGAAUUAUCACUUUUGUAAGCCGAAGGCGGCUUCGCCUUAUGCUUGUGGUAGCCCAAGAAUUUUGCUGAGAUUGGUGUGUGGGCGGUUUGGGAAAGGUCUGCGGCUUAUCAGCUAGUUGGUAGGGUAACGGCCUACCAAGGCUAUGACGAGUAGGCGGUGUGAGAGCAUGACCGCCAACAGGGGUACUGAGAUACGGACCCCACUCCUACGGGAGGCAGCAGUCGAGAAUAUUCGACAAUGGGCGAAAGCCUGAUCGAGCGACGCCGCGUGCUCGAAGAAGUCCUUAGGGAUGUAAAGAGCUUUUAUCGUUGACGAAGCCGCAAGGCAGACGGUAAGCGAUGAAUAAGGGGGUGCUAACUCUGUGCCAGCAGCAGCGGUAAUACAGAGCCCCCAAGCGUUAUCCGGAUUUAUUGGGCGUAAAGAGUCUGUAGGCGGUUUGAAAAGUUUUUGGUUAAAUACCUAGGGCUUAACCUUGGGGAUGCCAAAAAUACUUUCAGACUAGAGGGCGUUAGGAGCUGAUGGAACGGUCGGUGUAGGGGUAAAAUCCGUUGAUAUCGACCGGAAUACUAAAAGCGAAGGCAUUCAGCUAGGGCGACCCUGACGCUGAGAGACGAAAGCGUGGGCAUAAAAAAGGAUUAGAUAAAUCCUUGUUCAUAAAAUUUUUAUGGACUAAAUGGUGUCCUUCAUGUUGGCGACAAUAUGAUAAGCAUCUAGCUGUAUCGGGGAAUCCCAUUUAGUCAAAUGGGCAAUCCCGAGGGAAGUUUGCAAAAGUUAAAAAAUCAGAAGUCAAAAAUCAAAAUGACAAUGUAAAAUUUUUGUAUAACCCCGUAGAGACUAUGUAAAUCAAAAAGAUAGAAAAUGAUUAAUUCAUUUUUGUCAAAAAAUUGCAAAGACAUGAUUUUGGGUUCUUUGCUAGGAGAUGGUUCGUUAAAGAUUAACGAUAAUUAUAAAAAUGCUCGUUUUUCUUUCCGCCAUUCUGUUAAACAAAAAGAAUAUUUUUUCUGGAAAAUGAAUCAAUUGAAGGAAAUUUCAGGAGAAAAUUGUUUUUGGAAAUCAGGUGUUAACGAUGGAUUUGGCGGACAAAAAUUACGAUAUCAAAGCCUGGCAAUACCAGAAUUAACCGAGUUAUACGAUAAAACUCAUAAAAAGGGGGUAUUUAAAAUUCGCCGCAAAUGGCUUAAUUUAUUAACUCCUUUAUCUUUGGCAAUAUGGUGGCUUGACGACGGUUCUAUUAUAGGAAAUGGUCGCAAAGGUGUAUUUUGCACAGACGGUUUUUUCUAUGAAGAACAGGAAAUAUUAUCUCAAUAUUUAAAAAAAGUAUGGGAUAUAAACGUUCAUAUCGGUAAGAUAACCAGACAAUGGAAAGGAAAAGUAAAAACAUAUUAUCGUUUAUGGAUUCGUUCAAGCGAAGAAUUAAAAAAGUUUUUGCGGAUAAUAUUACCGCAAAUAAAAGUAGUAGAAAUGCUACCGAAGGUCUUGAUUAUGUAUAAAGACCAUGAUUUACAACAACGCUGGAUUUCUGAAGUAAGUGAUUUAACCGAUUUUUCCAAAGCAAUUAUUGAAAAAUAUAUUGGCCAAAAGAAAAAUAGAUGGAAAAUUUACAGAAAAACUUCAGAAAAUGAUAUAGUCCGAUCCUCCGAGUAAUCGGAGCAGAAGAAAAUUACAAGAUGACCCUUGUAUACCACGCUGUAAACGAUGGACACUAGCUAUCUGAAGUGUCGACCCUUCGGGUGGCGAAGCUAACGCGUUAAGUGUCCCGCCUAGGAAGUACGGCCGCAAGGCUAAAACUCAAAGGAAUAGACGGGGAUUCACACAAGCGGUGGACCAUGUGGCUUAAUUCGACAACAAACGAGGAACCUUACCAGGGCUUGACAGGAUAGUGACAUCCCGUAGAAAUAUGGGACUUCUCACAAGGACACUAUCCCAGGUGCUGCACGGCUGUCGUAAGCAUGUGCCUUGAGGCGCCCCCUUAAAUGGGUGAACAUGCGCAACCCCCAUCGUCUGUUUUAUAUGUCAGGCGAAACUGCCCGGGAUAACCGGGAGGAAGGCGGGGAUGACGCCAAGUCAGCGUGGCCCUUUGAUGCCCUGGGCUGCACACGUGGUACAAUGGAGCCGACAAUGGGUUGCGAAACCGCAAGGCGGAGCUAAUCCCAACAAACGGCCCCCCAGUUCGGAUUGAGGUCUGCAACUCGACCUCAUGAAGCCGGAAUCGCUAGUAAUCGCCAAUCAGCCAUGUGGCGAUGAAUACGUUCCUGAAUCUUGUACUCACCGCCCGUCACACCAAGAGAGCUGGCAAUACCCAAAGGUCGCGUUUAUCGCGGUUCAAGGUAAGGUCAGUAAUAAGGGUGAAGUCGUAACAAGGCACCGGUAGCGGAAGCUGUCGGUGGAUCACUACAUUU